rnacentral:rRNA from 1 species
GACUCUCGGCAACGGAUAUCUCGGCUCUUGCAUCGAUGAAGAACGUAGCGAAAUGCGAUACUUGGUGUGAAUUGCAGAAUCCCGUGAACCAUCGAGUCUUUGAACGCAAGUUGCGCCCAAAGCCAUUAAGCUGAGGGCACGCCUGCCUGGGUGUCA